CUUUCUUCCCAGGCAACUUCAUGUUGUGCUCCCUGCUCCUUUGGGUCUACUGUGUCAAGACAAGAAAGGAAACUGACCCUGCUCUGAUGGGUGACUAUUCAUAACAAGUGAAAUUUCAAGAAACAGUACUCAAGGAUUACAGAGGGAAUUCUCCAUCCUGUUUCCCUAGUGUCUGGGAAGACUACAGGUGAAGCACAAGGAACACAAAAGACAAAAAAACCCUAUUUUUCAAAGGCAACAAUCAUUUGGAGGCAAUUGUACCUGGAAUAUACAGAUAGUGUUGCUGGAAAAUAGUUUCCCCAUAUCACUAAUGUUCUGGAAUUGAGAAAUCAAAGAGAAUAAUACAGGAGGAUUUGAAGAGGAAAUGGAAAUGCAGUUCCAGGUGAGGUUAAAUGGAGUGGGGAAAUCAAGAAAAUGUGGAAAGUUCUGUCAUUUUCAGAUAAUAGCAAUGUCUAGCAUCAUAUUAAAGCAAAACUGUAUUGACUUCAGACUGCAUUCUUGGUCAGAAGUCUGCCAUUGUCAUCAGGAACCAUGCUGUCCACAACUAGUAUUUACAGGUGGAAUCACAACAUUAUCUGACUCUACACACAAUUUAUUUAUUUAGUACAUUUUCAUCUCAACCUUCCUCCAUGUAGCUCAGGACAUUACAUAGCAUUCUGUCCUCUUGAUCUGUCUUCACAACAACCUUGUGAGGUACUUUAGGAUGAGAGAGAGUGGUGAUUUUCACACAGCAGAAAUAAAAUGUCCUUCACUGACUGGCUCAAGGUCAUCCAGCAGCUUCUACAAAUCAGAGUCUAAAAGACAAUGAUUUCCAGCUAGAAAUACUGAUAGAUCGUAUAUGAAAGCAAGACUUCUGGCAUUCAGUUAGUCUGAUGAAUGUGGCUGAAAUGUUCUGGUAUCAGACACAAAUGCAUUUUAUUGUAACAGCUAUUAGCAGGAAAAGCUGAAAGUAGUAGCACUGUUGUUGCGAGUGGGAUUUCUUUUUCUGAAAUUAGAUAUAGCCAUUUUCCUCUUCUUUUUUCUUUUUUCUCACUAUCUUAAAAGAGGGAUUCUCUUGCAAUACAUUUCUCUUGGAAAAGAAAUCAGAGCACUCUUUGUAACUGCAUGCCUUUGAUAUUAUAUACCACAUGAUGGUGCUCUAGCAAGAGGAUGGGAAAAUCUGGGUAAGACAUUGCCUGCUUUUUUCAGAACCUCUCUUCCUGCCCCUUUACUCCUCCAAUUUCUAUUUGAUCAAAUGGGAGUGAUUGAAAACAUACUCCAAAUUCCUAAAAAUAGCAAAGAAACAGAUUGUAGAAUUUCAGGAAGAAACUAGACAAAGAGGUUAUUGAAAUCUUAAGGUAUGGUCAUGUAUCCACUGAAGCUAAGCAGGUUGGGAGGCUGUACAGUACCUAUAUGGAAGACUGCUUUCAAACUACACUUUCAGUUCCACUAAAUAUAGAAAAAAUAAAUACACUAAGACAAUAGACCUUGUUUUGGGAUGGGAUAACAAGGAUGACUCCAGACCUCCUUCUCUUUGGACUUUAUGGCACCAAUCCACUAGGCCCAGUUGGCCAUGGAGCCAUAUUUCUGAACAGUUACAAGCCAAUCAGUGGAUUGCAUACUUCUCACUUUAUGCAUGUGUAACCCCCAUGCCCAGAAUGGGUUGGCCCAGAAUGGGUUGACCCAGUAAGGGGUGGAGACUCAGAGCAGCAAGAGGCUGCAGGAGAGAGCUCUUUGGAGAAGACAAGGGUACCAGAC